CACAAACAUAUUAUUCACCUGAGUACACAACACCAGCACAAAAAAAAUUCAUAUUACAAGAACACAUUGGUAUUGAAGGAACUAGAUACUGUUCCGAAAUAUCACUUACUCGAACCGUCCUGACCGCGUGGCUCGGUUGGAGGAGCAUUGGGCUGGUGUUCCAGGGGUCGUGGGUUCGAGUCCCACCGUGGCCGGGCAUAUUUUUCAAGCUCGCCCGGUGUGGAUAUGCACUCGGAGUGGCAUCGCAGGCGUGUAUUCACCUGAGUACACAGCACCAACA